CACGUAUUUAGCCGGGGCUUCUUAGUCAAGUACCGUCAUUUUCUUCCUUGCUGAUAGAAGUUUACAUACCGAAAUACUUCAUCCUUCACGCGGCGUCGCUGCAUCAGGGUUUCCCCCCAUUGUGCAAUAUUCCCUACUGCUGCCUCCCGUAGGAGUUUGGGCCGUGUCUCAGUCCCAAUGUGGCCGAUCACUCUCUCAAGUCGGCUACUGAUCGUUGCCUUGGUGGGCCGUUACCCCUCCAACUAGCUAAUCAGACGCGGGUCCAUCUUGUACCACCGGAGUUUUUCACACUGUAUCAUGCGAUACUGUGCGCUUAUGCGGUAUUAGCAGUCGUUUCCAACUGUUAUCCCCCUGUACAAGGCAGGUUACCCACGCGUUACUCACCCGUCCGCCACUCAGUCACCUCAAUUGUUUCAAUCCCUAGCAAGCUAGGUCAAUCAACGGGAGAGGUGCUUCGUUCGACUUGCAUGUAUUAAGCACGCCGCCAGCGUUCAU
rnacentral:rRNA from 1 species